rnacentral:lncRNA from 1 species
UUGGAUAUUUGUAGGUAUUUGAGAGGUGGGAGCAUGAAUUGUAGACAUUUGUGGACUUGGAGUAGAGAGGAAAGGUGGGAAAUUUGUAAAUGUUUGAGAUAUGGGAUGAUGUUUCGGUUGCCUUGUAGGUUGUGGAAGUUGGAUAUUUGAAGGUGUGUUAGAUGUAAGAUGAUGUGUAGGUUUCCUUGUAGAGUGGGGUUGUUGGGUAUUUGUAGGUAUUUGAGAAGUGGGAGCAUGGACAGUAGACAUUUGUGGACUUGAAGUAGAGAGGAAAGGUGGGAAGUUUGUAUGUGUUUGAGAUAUGGGAUGAUGUGUAGGCUGCUUUGUAGAUAGGGAUUGUUGGAUAUUUGAAGGUGUUUUAGAUGUAAGAUGAUGUGUAGGUUUCCUUGUAGAGUGGGGUUGUUGGGUAUUUGUAGGUAUUUGAGAAGUGGGAGCAUGGACAGUAGACAUUUGUGGACUUGAAGUAGAGAGGAAAGGUGGGAAGUUUGUAUGUGUUUGAGAUAUGGGAUGAUGUGUAGGCUGCUUUGUAGAUAGGGAUUGUUGGAUAUUUGAAGGUGUUUUAGAUGUAAGAUGAUGUGUAGGUUUCAUUGUAGAGUGGGGUUGUUGGGUAUUUGUAGGUAUUUGAGAAGUGGGAGCAUGGACAGUAGACAUUUGUGGACUUGAAGUAGAGAGGAAAGGUGGGAAGUUAGUAUGUGUUUGAGAUAUGGGAUGAUGUGUAGGUUGCUUUGUAGAUAGGGAUUGUUGGGUGUCUGCAGGCCUAGGUGCUUGUAAUCUAGAAGAAUGUGACAAAGUAGUUUUAUGCUUACCUCCCUUAUUUCCCUUAACUUUGUUGAUGCUUAUACCAGCACCUCUUCCACUGCCCCUUGUAAUAUCAUUGUCUUCCAUCUAUCUAUAUACAUAUAAAACUAGGUAAUUAACUACUGUACAUAAAAAAAAAAGUUAAAAGGCGCACAAAAUUAGACAUGGGCAUAAACAAGUUAAAAGGCACACAAAAUUAAAACAUAAGCACAAUUAGCAUUUUCCAUUAAUAUGCAUAAGAAUCACACAUAAGGAUUUGUUGAAAAAAUUUAACAUAACAAAAAGAAAAUCAAAAUUAUCUAUCCAAAAUCUGUUCUCCCUAAUUUACAAAAAAAAAAAAAAAAUUAACCAUGAAGCAAACAACACAAAAAGGGGAUUCAACUGUAAAAGACAGACCAAAAAAUCUUCACUAACUAAAACAUAUAAAUCUAUAAAACAACCCAAAUCAAAACCUUAACAUAUAGGCAUUCAAAUUGUGCAUACCCAAUUCAGUUAGCAUAGUUUACAACAUAAAAACAAGAGAAGGAGAAAAAAGAGUUUGGAAC